GAUGAACGCUGGCGGCGUGCCUAAUACAUGCAAGUCGAGCGAACAGACGAGGAGCUUGCUCCUCUGACGUUAGCGGCGGACGGGUGAGUAACACGUGGAUAACCUACCUAUAAGACUGGGAUAACUUCGGGAAACCGGAGCUAAUACCGGAUAAUAUAUUGAACCGCAUGGUUCAAUAGUGAAAGACGGUUUUGCUGUCACUUAUAGAUGGAUCCGCGCCGCAUUAGCUAGUUGGUAAGGUAACGGCUUACCAAGGCGACGAUGCGUAGCCGACCUGAGAAGGUAAUCGGCCACACUGGAACUGAGACACGGUCCAGACUCCUACGGAAGGCAGCAGUAGGGAAUCUUCCGCGAUGGGCAAAAGCCUGACGGAACAACGCCGCGUGAGUGAUGAGGGUCUUCGGAUCGUAGAACUCUGUUAUUAGGGAAGAACAAAUGUGUAAGUAACUAUGCACGUCUUGACGGUACCUAAUCAGAAAGCCACGGCUAACUACGUG
rnacentral:rRNA from 1 species